rnacentral:misc_RNA from 1 species
GAUGAAGAACGCAGCGAAAUGUGAUACGUAAUGUGAAUUGCAGAAUUCAGUGAAUCAUCGAGUCUUUGAACGCACAUUGCGCCCCCUGGUAUUCCGGGGGGCAUGCCUGUCCGAGCGUCAUUGCUGCCCUCAAGCACGGCUUGUGUGUUGGGCCUCCGUCCUCCUCCCGGGGGACGGGCCCGAAAGGCAGCGGCGGCACCGCGUCCGGUCCUCGAGCGUAUGGGGCUUCGUCACCCGCUCUUGUAGGCCCGGUCGGCGCUUGCCGACACAUCAAUCUUUUUUCCAGGUUGACCUCGGAUCAGGUAGGGAUACCCGCUGAACUUAAGCAUAUCAAUAAGCGGAGGA